rnacentral:rRNA from 1 species
GACGAACGCUGGCGGCGUGCUUAACACAUGCAAGUCGAGCGGUAAGGCCCUUUCGGGGGUACACGAGCGGCGAACGGGUGAGUAACACGUGGGUGACCUGCCCUCAGCUCUGGGAUAAGCCUGGGAAACUGGGUCUAAUACUGGAUAUGACUCCACGGUGCAUGUCGUGGGGUGGAAAGCCUUGUGCGGCUGAGGAUGGGCCCGCGGCCUAUCAGCUUGUUGGUGGGGUGANGGCCUACCAAGGCGACGACGGGUAGCCGGCCU